AGAAAAGAAACUAACAAGGAUUCCCCUAGUAACUGCGAGUGAAGCGGGAAGAGCUCAAAUUUAAAAUCUGGCGUGCCUCUGGUCGUCCGAGUUGUAGUCUGGAGAAGUGUUUUCCGUGUCGGACCGUGUACAAGUCUCUUGGAACAGGGCGUCAUAGAGGGUGAGAAUCCCGUCUUUGACAUGGACUACCGAUGCUUUGUGAUGCGCUCUCAAAGAGUCGAGUUGUUUGGGAAUGCAGCUCAAAAUGGGUGGUAAAUUCCAUCUAAAGCUAAAUAUAGGCGAGAGACCGAUAGCGAACAAGUACCGUGAGGGAAAGAUGAAAAGCACUUUGGAAAGAGAGUUAAACAGUACGUGAAAUUGCUGAAAGGGAAACGCUUGAAGUCAGUCACGUCUGCCAGGACUCAGCCUUGCUUCUGCUUGGUGCACUUUCUGGUUUGAUGGGCCAACAUCAAUUUUGACCGCUGGAGAAAGGCUUUGGGAACGUGGCACCUUCGGGUGUGUUAUAGCCCUUUGUCGUAUGCAACGGUUGGGAUUGAGGACCGCAGCACGCCUUCAUGGCCGGGGUUUUGCCCACGUACGUGCUUAGGAUGUUGGCAUAAUGGCUUUAAGCGACCCGU
rnacentral:rRNA from 1 species